rnacentral:rRNA from 1 species
CCUACGGGAGACAGCAGUGGGGAAUAUUGCACAAUGGGGGAAACCCUGAUGCAGCGACGCCGCGUGAGUGAAGAAGUAUUUCGGUACGUAAAGCUCUAUCAGCAGGGAAGAAAAUGACGGUACCUGACUAAGAAGCCCCGGCUAACUACGUGCCAGCAGCCGCGGUAAUACGUAGGGGGCAAGCGUGAUCCGGAUUUACUGGGUGUAAAGGGAGCGUAGACGGCAGCGCAAGUCUGGAGUGAAAUCCCAUGGCUUAACCAUGGAACUGCUUUGGAAACUGUGCAGCUAGAGUGCAGGAGAGGUAAGCGGAAUUCCUAGGGUAGCGGUGAAAUGCGUAGAUAUUAGGAGGAACACCAGUGGCGAAGGCGGCUUACUGGACUGUAACUGACGUUGAGGCUCGAAAGCGUGGGGAGCAAACAGGAUUAGAUACCCGGGUAGUC